rnacentral:siRNA from 1 species
UUAGUUGGUUUUGCUGAUGCAGGA